rnacentral:rRNA from 1 species
UACGUAGGGGGCUAGCGUUGUCCGGAUUUAUUGGGCGUAAAGAGCGUGUAGGCGGCCAUGUAGGUCCGGUGUGAAAACUCGAGGCUUAACCUCGAGAUGUCAUCGGAAACCAUUUGGCUAGAGUCCGGAAGAGGAGAGUGGAAUUCCGUGGUGUAGCGGUGAAAUGCGCAGAUAUCAGGAGGAACACCGGUGGCGAAGGCGGUUCUCUGGGCCUGUACUGACGCUGAGGAACGAAAGCGUGGGGGAGCGAACAGG